CCCGUGUUCGCCUGCUUGGGGAAAAGUAGUACGAGGCCACCGCUGGUCCAUGUGAUGAAUGACAAUCACUUGAUCAGUCGAUACAUUGUAUAGAUGACGAAAAAUAUGGAGCUCUCUGCUGUUCGUCACCAGACUGGGGAAAAAGAUGGGGACGAAGUAAAACAGACUGGACUGAAUUUACGCUCGGCAAGCAAAGGGCAACCAAACGAUGCAACAUAAAGGCCGGAAGGAAGAGAAGAGAAUAAAGUCACCUAGCUCUCCUUCCAUAUCCCUGGAUGUCAAAGGAUGCAGUGAAGGUCAUGUAAUGUGUGAGGACUCAGAUAAUUCCAACCCCCUUAUUAAUUA